ACUUCGGUCCCGAGUAGAGUGGCGCACGGGUGAGUAACGCGUAAGUGAUCUACCCCUGUAUCUGGGAUAACUAUGGGAAACUGUAGCUAAUACCGGAUACGUUCAUGUAGUUGCGAUUAUGUGAAGAAAGAUGGCCUCUGAUUCAAGCUAUUGUACAGGGAGGAGCUUGCGUACCAUUAGCUAGUUGGUAGGGUAAUGGCCUACCAAGGCAACGAUGGUUAGCGGGUCUGAGAGGAUGAUCCGCCACACUGGAACUGAAACACGGACCAGACUCCUACGGGAGGCAGCAGUGAGGAAUAUUGCGCAAUGGGGGCAACCCUGACGCAGCGACGCCGCGUGGAUGAUGAAGGCCUUCGGGUCGUAAAAUCCUGUCAGAUGGGAAGAAGUGUGUGAUGGUUAAUACCCAUUGCAUUUGACGGUACCAUCAGAGGAAGCACCGGCUAACUCCGUGCCAGCAGCCGCGGUAAUACGGAGGGUGCAAGCGUUGUUCGGAAUUACUGGGCGUAAAGCGCGCGUAGGCGGUUUGUUAAGUCAGAUGUGAAAGCCCAGGGCUCAACCCUGGACGUGCAUUUGAAACUGGCAGACUUGAGUAUUGGAGGGGGUGGUGGAAUUCCCGGUGUAGAGGUGAAAUUCGUAGAUAUCGGGAGGAAUACCGGUGGCGAAGGCGACCACCUGGCCAAAUACUGACGCUGAGGUGCGAAAGCGUGGGGAGCAAACAGGAUUAGAUACCCUGGUAGUCCACGCCGUANACGAUGAGAACUAGGUGUUGGGACGGUUGAUCGUCUCANUGCCGCAGCUAACGCAUUAAGUUCUCCGCCUGGGGAGUACGGUCGCAAGAUU
rnacentral:rRNA from 1 species